UAGUCCAUUCAUGUUUUCCUUGUAACCCAGUCAAUGUCUAUAAACCAUGAGAACGAUUGGCAUACUCCUGAACCAAUGCCCCAAAUAGAGAGGGCCUCUCAAGCAACCGAGAUGGUUUGUCAAACUCUUUUGCUCGUCCUGCCCAAAA